AUUGAACGCUGGCGGCAGGCUUAACACACGCAAGUCGAGCGGAGAUGAGGUGCUUGCACCUUAUCUUAGCGGCGGACGGGUGAGUAAUGCUUAGGAAUCUGCCUAUUAGUGGGGGACAACAUUCCGAAAGGAAUGCUAAUACCGCAUACGUCCUACGGGAGAAAGCAGGGGAUCUUCGGACCUCGCGCUAAUAGAUGAGCCUAAGUCGGAUUAGCUAGUUGGUUGGGUAAAGGCCUACCAAGGCGACGAUCUGUAGCGGGUCUGAGAGGAUGAUCCGCCACACUGGGACUGAGACACGGCCCAGACUCCUACGGGAGGCAGCAGUGGGGAAUAUUGGACAAUGGGGGAAACCCUGAUCCAGCCAUGCCGCGUGUGUGAAGAAGGCCUUAUGGUUGUAAAGCACUUUAAGCGAGGAGGAGGCUACUGAGACUAAUACUCUUGGAUAGUGGACGUUACUCGCAGAAUAAGCACCGGCUAACUCUGUGCCAGCCGCCGCGGUAAAAC
rnacentral:rRNA from 1 species